rnacentral:rRNA from 1 species
GUGAACGCUGGCGGCGUGCCUAACACAUGCAAGUCGAGCGAGAAAGCUCCUUCGGGAGUUAGUAAAGCGGCGGACGGUUGAGUAACACGUGAGAAUCUACCCUUUAGUGAAGAAUACCUCCGAGAAAUCGGAGUUAAUACUGCAUACGUCCCUUCGGGGAGAAAGGUGGCCUAAUUUGCUGCCGCUAAAGGAUGAGCUUGCGGGCUAUCAGCUUGUUGGUGAGGUAAAGGCUCACCAAGGCUAUGACGGCUAGCCGGCCUGAGAGGGUGUACGGCCAGACUGGAACUUAGACACGGUCCAGACUCCUACGGGAGGCAGCAGUGAGGAAUCUUGCACAAUGGGCGAAAGCCUGAUGCAGCGACGCCGCGUGAAGGAUGAAGGUUUUCGGAUCGUAAACUUCUGUUAAGUGGGAAGAAACGCCUAUUGUUAAUAUCAAUAGGAACUGACUGUACCAUUAUAGAAAGCACCGGCUAACUACGU